GAUGAACGCUGGCGGCGUGCCUAAUACAUGCAAGUCGAGCGAACAGACGAGGAGCUUGCUCCUCUGACGUUAGCGGCGGACGGGUGAGUAACACGUGGAUAACCUACCUAUAAGACUGGGAUAACUUCGGGAAACCGGAGCUAAUACCGGAUAAUAUAUUGAACCGCAUGGUUCCAUAGUGAAAGACGGUUUUGCUGUCACUUAUAGAUGGAUCCGCGCCGCAUUAGCUAGUUGGUAAGGUAACGGCUUACCAAGGCAACGAUGCGUAGCCGACCUGAGAGGGUGAUCGGCCACACUGGAACUGAGACACGGUCCAGACUCCUACGGGAGGCAGCAGUAGGGAAUCUUCCGCAAUGGGCGAAAGCCUGACGGAGCAACGCCGCGUGAGUGGUGAAGGUCUUCGGAUCGUAAAACUCUGUUAUUAGGGAAGAACAAAUGUGUAAGUAACUAUGCACGUCUUGACGGUACCUAAUCAGAAAGCCACGGCUAACUACGUG
rnacentral:rRNA from 1 species